rnacentral:rRNA from 1 species
GAGGAAUAUUGCGCAAUGGCCGAAAGGCUGACGCAGCGACGCCGCGUGAGGGAUGAAGUCCGUUAGGAUGUAAACCUCUUUUGCAGGGGAUGAAGCUGCCGCUACAGGCGGCAGUCGACCGUACCCUGCGAAUAAGGGUCGGCUAACUACGUGCCAGCAGCCGCGGUAAUACGUAGGACCCGAGCGUUGUCCGGAUUUACUGGGUGUAAAGGGCGUGUAGGUGGGCGCUUAAGUCGAUGGUGAAAUCCUGCGGCUCAACCGUAGAAUUGCCGUCGAUACUGGGCGUCUUGAGUACGGCAGAGGGAGAUGGAAUUCAUGGUGUAGCGGUGAAAUGUGUAGAUAUCAUGAAGAACACCGGUAGCGAAGGCGGUCUCCUGGUCCGUUACUGACACUGAGACGCGAAAGCGUGGGGAGCAAAC